rfam:Omnitrophica WOR_2 bacterium RBG_13_44_8b RBG_13_scaffold_2273, whole genome shotgun sequence.
GGGCCCAUAGCUCAGCUGGUCAGAGCAGGAGACUCAUAAUCUCUUGGUCGGGGGUCCGAAUCCUCCUGGGCCCA